UCAAACUUGGUCAUUUAGAGGAAGUAAAAGUCGUAACAAGGUUUCCGUAGGUGAACCUGCGGAAGGAUCAUUAACGAAUUCAUGAGGUUGAUGCUGGUACCUUUUUGGUGCAUUGUGCUCGCCUCUAAUUCAUCCAUAUACACCUGUGCACCUCUGAGGGUUUUUCUGAUUUGGUUCGGAAAUCCCUCUUAUUUACAAACCCAUUUGCUUAAUAUUGAACGUGAUUGUGCCGUAUGGCCUUAAUUAUAAAUACAACUUUUAACAACGGAUCUCUUGGCUCUCGCAUCGAUGAAGAACGCAGC
rnacentral:misc_RNA from 1 species